GAUGAACGCUAGCUACAGGCUUAACACAUGCAAGUCGCGGGGCAGCAUGGGGGUUGCUUGCAAUCCCCGAUGGCGACCGACGCACGGGUGAGUAACGCGUAUCCAACCUGCCCUUCACCACGGGAUAACCCGGCGAAAGUCGGACUAAUACCGUAUGUUGUCCAUUGACGGCAUCCGAUUUGGACGAAAGGCUUGGCGGUGAGGGGUGGGGAUGCGUCCGAUUAGCCAGACGGCGGGGUAACGGCCCACCGUGGCUACGAUCGGUAGGGGUUCUGAGAGGAAGGUCCCCCACACUGGAACUGAGACACGGUCCAGACUCCUACGGGAGGCAGCAGUGAGGAAUAUUGGUCAAUGGGCGUAAGCCUGAACCAGCCAAGUAGCGUGCAGGAUGACGGCCCUAUGGGUUGUAAACUGCUUUUAUGCGGGGAUAAAGUGGCCCACGUGUGGGCUUUUGCAGGUACCGCAUGAAUAAGGACCGGCUAAUUCCGUG
rnacentral:rRNA from 1 species